UUAAAACUUUCUUGAUUUCUUAAUAAUAGCUGAAGAGUACGCGGGAUGUCCUCAGCGUUUACAUAUAUACACAGCAGACGGUCAAUAAACACUAAUCUAUCCAGUGAAAAAGCAGAACAACUAAAUAAAAUGUGAUCAAGGGACUGUAUAUCGUUAUUGCAGUAAUUACAAACUGGAGAAGACAAAACAUUGAUUCGAAACAAAUGAGCAUUGAAGCGGCAAUGACCUAAUCUCAAGCGACAGAUGGUUGUAUAAAACUUCCUAUCAAGGGAGAUCCUGAGCCAGAUAUGGAACAUGAGAUUGUACAUUAUUUGAAAUACUUUGUAACUUCUAAAUGAGAGGAUGCCUUGACACAGACAAGAGCUUCAAAAGAAAUGUUGAUUUAAGAUAUUCAAAUCUUAAUGACAAUGGAGGAAUGUUACAUUCCACUUGCAUGGAAAUAAUUGGAGUGGACCUCAUUGCACCAAGAAUAAUGCGUAGCUGUAAUGACAACAAAAUCGAAGAAAGCACAUCAAUAUUGACAUUGUUAAAUGCGCCAACAACAUCAAUAAAAAAACACAAACUAACUUUUCAUUAUGGGACAAAGCAUCACGGAUAUCCAGACACAAAUGACUGAGGCUUUCCCGGGCAGAACGGCCACGACGGAAACCAAAUUGAUUAUAAGUUUCAGGUUAGCAUGCUGAGGAAUGUUAGAAGAAAACUGAAGAAAAUUAACUGAUGAAGACACUGUAUACUUAGUUACAGUGGGAAAAUGAUAACUUCCUAGCGAAUCAGAAUAAACCUGCCAAGAACAAGAUAAAGCCAAUGAAGAUGUUACCAUUGUUAAAUCAAGACCAUUUAUUUGGUCUGAAGACAUG